GUGCUUGCUUCGGCAACACAUAUACUAAAAUUGUAAUGAUACAGAGAUUAGCAUGGCCCCUGUGCAAGGAUGACACGCAAACUCGUGAAGCAUUCCAUAUUUUU
rnacentral:snRNA from 1 species